rnacentral:lncRNA from 1 species
AACCGCCGUGUCAAACUUUAUUUUCUCCAAAAACGCGGUAUCUAUUCAGUGAGUAAUAGCAAAUGUAUUAGGAAAAGAAACAGCGGAACGGUGCUACAUUGCGAUAUCACGUUAUCUCUUUCUUCCGAGUGCUUUGCUUCAAAAACGAGACAAGACAGUUGUCAUUCCGCAAGCAAAGCCUAGUUUUUCGACAAAAAAGUGAUAUUACGACGAUAUUACAUUGUGAUUGCAAAGAUGGAAUCGUGAUCUAAGAGGAUCCUUGAACUUGCAAUGGCAACCGAGAAAUCGAACAUUCCCGUUCUAAUGACUAGGACAGAUAAUGGCACAACAUAAAACAUACAGAAUGGAACUUCAAACAUAGAGGACUCAUUGUUAACAGAAGGAAAAGUUGACUUAACAUUUCCGAAUCGUAGUCGUUGUGAUUCGACUAGCUGUAGUUCGUCUAGUGACUCGUCAACCAGCUCAUCAAGCUCUUUCAGUGAAGAUAGCGACGACUCCGUAAAAGACCCAGACUAUGA